rnacentral:rRNA from 1 species
GAUGAACGCUGGCGGCGUGCAUAACACAUUCAAGUCGAACGGUGAAGGGGCUUCGGCCCCGGAACAGUGGCGGACGGGUGAGUAACGCGUGAGCAACCUGCCCAAGUGAGGGGGAUAACGUUUGGAAACGAACGCUAAUACCGCAUAACGUGUUUUUAAGGCAUCUUAGGAACACCAAAGGAGAAAUCCGCACGAGGAUGGGCUCGCGUCCGAUUAGGCAGUUGGUGAGGUAACGGCCCACCAAACCUACGAUCGGUAGCCGGACUGAGAGGUUGAACGGCCACAUUGGAACUGAGAAACGGUCCAGACUCCUACGGGAGGCAGCAGUGAGGAAUAAUUGGGCAAUGGGGGAAACCCUGACCCAGCGACGCCGCGUGAGGGAAGAAGGUCUUCGGAUUGUAAACCUCUGUCCUCAAGGACGAAGGAAGUGACGGUACUUGAGGAGGAAGCCCCGGCUAACUACGUGCCAGCAGCCGCGGU